rnacentral:hammerhead_ribozyme from 1 species
AUUCGGCUGACGAGUUCUAAAAAGGAUGAAACGCUCUUCGUGAAU